UUCUUCGUAGCACAGUGGUAGUUGCACCGAGCUGUUAAACAAUUUAGAUGUUGCGCGGUACUCGGGGGUCGCAGGUUCGAGCCCUGCCGAGGAAG